UGGGGAAUCUUCCGCAAUGGACGAAAGUCUGACGGAGCAACGCCGCGUGAGUGAUGACGGCCUUCGGGUUGUAAAGCUCUGUUAAUCGGGACGAAUGGUUCUUGUGCGAAUAGUGCAAGGAUUUGACGGUACCGGAAUAGAAAGCCACGGCUAACUACGUGCCAGCAGCCGCGGUAAUACGUAGGUGGCAAGCGUUGUCCGGAAUUAUUGGGCGUAAAGCGCGCGCAGGCGGAUUGGUCAGUCUGUCUUAAAAGUUCGGGGCUUAACCCCGUUAUGGGAUGGAAACUGCCAAUCUAGAGUAUCGGAGAGGAAAGUGGAAUUCCUAGUGUAGCGGUGAAAUGCGUAGAUAUUAGGAAGAACACCAGUGGCGAAGGCGACUUUCUGGACGAAAACUGACGCUGAGGCGCGAAAGCCAGGGGAGCGAACGGG
rnacentral:rRNA from 1 species